rnacentral:ncRNA from 1 species
GUAAAAAUAAGAAUUUUAUCGAUAUUGCUCGUGUAGUCGAGAACUGCCAAGUGGCAGCAA